rnacentral:rRNA from 1 species
AUGCUUAGCUCACCGGAGAUAGGGCCACCGUCGGAGAACAAGCCGAUGAUUUCACCACCACCAUUCCCUUCCGCACCACCUCCCCAAGAAACCCCCCAACCUACCACCGCAGAUCCGCUGGAGCCAGCCCAAUCUGAUCACGCCGAGUCGACUCCACCGUCGCAUCCAGGCCUCACCGCGACGUCUCCGGAAGCUUGCGAAUCUACGGUGUCGGCGCCGGCGCAUAUUGACGGAAAAAAGCGAGAGGCGGGCAGGCCGCCUUCGCUCUCCGCCUCACCUGCUCUCGAAGCCACCAAACUGGAGCAGCACGCUUCGCCUUUGCCGCCGCCAGCGGCCGAGGCUUUCCCCGAGGCAGCGACCACGGAGGCAUCGCCUUCUCCCUCGCACCAAAUCGUGGCGGCCUCGGUGGCGGAAACUCCAUCGCCGUCAACCCCAUCUAGUCCUCCAGCUUGGACCGCAGGCGCCCUGUCGGAUGGGUCACUCGCUGAUUCGGCCGCAGUGGUGUCCGAGGAAGCCGGCCGGCUACCCGCUGCGCUCGAAUCGAUGGAUGCCAACCGGCCCACUGCUCCUGCACCGCCGACGCUACCAGUGAAGAGUGAACCAGAGGGGUUGUUGCCACAACAGCAUCGGCGACCACCUUGGCCUACGGUGCUUCCAGGGUGUGAAAAUUUCGAGCACUCACAGCCGCCUUCUCCUCGCCCUCGCCAGGUUGAAGCUGCACAUGGCUUGCCAGAUGCGGCCCAGACCAAUGCAAUUGCAGUGACCUCGGAAGAGCCUGGCGCGCCGUCAGUAUGUAAGAGUGAUUCUGAGGGGUCAUUUGAAGUAGCAAUGCAUAUACCACUUUCUUCCCCAACGGAGGCUGAACCCUGUUCGCCGGACAUGGCGCCUCCCGGGUUUGAGAAAUUUAAAUUUUUAUGGCCGCCACUACCCCCUCCCAACCUGUCAGUCGAAACUGCACACUCAUUGCUAAAUUCGGCUGUGCCGGAGGGGGUGGCUAAUCCACUGCCUGUAUUGGAGACUAUGGACACAAAGGUAGUCGCUGCACGUAACCUGCCACUGCCAUCAUCGGAGAGUGGGGCAGAGGAGCCAUUGUGGCAGCCACUGCUGAGAUCACCUUCUCCCAUCACACAAGCUGAGCCCUGCUCACCAGAUAUGCCACCUCCUGGGUUUGAGAAUUUCAAGUUGUCAUGCAUGCCACUAUCCAAUGAAAACACAUAUGCCUCGUCUGAUGUGAUCGCCACCAAGGCAGUGGCAGUGACACCUGAGGAGGCGGUGUUAUCAGUGCCAACGUUGGAGGCAAUAGAUGUCGAGACAGACAGUGCGUGCAACUUGCUGCCACCAUUGGGGAGCAAGUUGGAAGGGUUAUUGAAACAGCCAUUAUUGAGAUCAACUACUCCAGUUGCAGAGUCUCCUCCUUGUUCACCGGAGAUUGCACCGCCCGGGUUUGAGAGUUUUAGAUUGUCAUGGCAACCAUUAUCCACGCCUCCGUCUGGGACUGCAUAUAUCAUGCCAGAUGCUGCUGUGAUGCCAUUGCCCGUGACAUUGGAGGAAGCAGCUGGAUCACCACCUGCACUGGAGGCAAUGGAUGUGGACAUGAAUGCCAUACAUCCACUAACGGUACCUUUAGAGAGUGGAGUGGAAGGAUCGCUGCAAGAGCCACAGCCAAGACCACCUUCUCCUAUUUCGCAAGAUGUGCCCAGUUCGCCAGAUAUGGCACCUCCAGGGUUUGAGAAUUUUAAGUCAUCACAGCUACUGCUACCAUCUCCAGUCUUCUCACAGACUGCAUUCACCUUACACGAUUCAACCACCACUAUAGCUGAAUAUGUGUCGGAGGAAGCAGCUCAGCUAUCACCUGCAUUAGAAACAAUUGAUGUGAAAAUGGAGACAUCACCGGAGAGUGGAGCAGAGGGGUCAUUACCACAACAAAUGCACUGGCGGCCAUCUCCUAAGGAGAACGGUACUGCUUGUUCACCAGAGAUGGUGCCUUCAGGGCAUGAGAACUUGCAGCCUUUGCCAUAUCCUGCUUUUCUUCCUCAGGCUCAGACCCCAGAUGUGGUUGCCACUGGGGCAGUCAUAGGGGCAUUGGACCAAAUGCAUCAUCCAGCGCCUGUACUGGGGACAAUUGAAGAGGGCACAUCACCCAUUCUGUCACCACCGUUGGAGAGCGGGUCAUUGCCACAGCUAGAGCCACAGAUGAAUUCUGUUACGGCACAUGUUGUGGACACCCCGAUGCAUGUACCUGCCACAGAUUGUGUUGCAGUUAACUCAGAGGGACCAGUUCUGCCACCGCCUGCAUUGCAGGCGAUGGUUACAAACAUGGACAGUGCAACUACAUUGCUCCCGCGAUUUGAGAAUGGAGCAGAGGGGUCAUUGCCCCAGCUAAGGCAGCAGUCAUCUUCUCCAAAUGUUCAGGCCGCACCUUGUUCAUUGGACGCGGUGGAACUUCUGCCACCACCACCACCUCCUUUCAUUAACAAAGAAGUAGGUCAAAUGGUGUGUGGAAGCUGCCGUGAACUUAUUGCUUAUCCUAGAGGUGCUGUUCAUGUACAGUGUGCUGCCUGUCGGACAAUAAACCUAGUAGUGGAAGCACAUGAAGUUGGGAAUGUACACUGGACGAUGUGA